GGGUUGUGAGGUUAAGCGACUAAGCGUACACGGUGGAUGCCCUGGCAGUCAGAGGCGAUGAAGGACGUGCUAAUCUGCGAUAAGCGUCGGUAAGGUGAUAUGAACCGUUAUAACCGGCGAUUUCCGAAUGGGGAAACCCAGUGUGUUUCGRCACACUAUCAUUAACUGAAUCCAUAGGUUAAUGAGGCGAACCGGGGGAACUGAAACAUCUAAGUACCCCGAGGAAAAGAAAUCAACCGAGAUUCCCCCAGUAGCGGCGAGCGAACGGGGAGCAGCCCAGAGCCUGAAUCAGUGUGUGUGUUAGUGGAAGCGUCUGGAAAGGCGCGCGAUACAGGGUGACAGCCCCGUACACAAAAAUGCACAURCUGUGAGCUCGAUGAGUAGGGCGGGACACGUGGUAUCC
rnacentral:rRNA from 1 species